rnacentral:rRNA from 1 species
GUGGGGAAUCUUAGACAAUGGGGGAAACCCUGAUCUAGCCAUGCCGCGUGAUCGAUGAAGGCCUUAGGGUUGUAAAGAUCUUUCAGGUGGGAAGAUAAUGACUGUACCACCAGAAGAAGCCCCGGCUAACUCCGUGCCAGCAGCCGCGGUAAUACGGAGGGGGCUAGCGUUGUUCGGAAUUACUGGGCGUAAAGCGCACGUAGGCGGACCAGAAAGUCAGAGGUGAAAUCCCAGGGCUCAACCUUGGAACUGCCUUUGAAACUCCUGGUCUUGAGGUCGAGAGAGGUGAGUGGAAUUCCGAGUGUAGAGGUGAAAUUCGUAGAUAUUCGGAGGAACACCAGUGGCGAAGGCGGCUCACUGGCUCGAUACUGACGCUGAGGUGCGAAAGCGUGGGGAGCAAACAGGAUUAGAUACCCGAGUAGUCC